rnacentral:lncRNA from 1 species
UAGGAGAAUUUUCUCCCGCAUAUAGUUCUUCAAUUUCCCACAAAUGAUGCUGAAAAAUUAUAAAAUUUAGUUUCUAAAUACUUUCAGUAGUGUAGAUCAAGUUUAACGGAGCCGAUCGUCAAUUUAGAAGCCGCAUCAUUGUAAACAACUUGGUAGCACGGAGGCCUCCGUGCUACCGAUAGUAUACCAGCCUAACUCUCUCUCUCUCUCUCUCUCUCUCUCUCUCUCUAUAUAUAUAUAUAUAUAUAUAUAUAA